UACGAAGGGGGCUAGCGUUGCUCGGAAUUACUGGGCGUAAAGGGCGCGUAGGCGGCCUGCUAAGUCGAACGCGAAAUCCCCGGGCUCAACCCGGGAACUGCGUCCGAUACUGGCAGGCUUGAAUCCGGGAGAGGGAUGUGGAAUUCCAGGUGUAGCGGUGAAAUGCGUAGAUAUCUGGAGGAACACCGGUGGCGAAGGCGGCAUCCUGGACCGGCAUUGACGCUGAGGCGCGAAAGCCAGGGGAGCAAACGGG
rnacentral:rRNA from 1 species